rnacentral:ncRNA from 1 species
AUGCAUGUCUAAGUAUGAACUAAUUCAGACUGUGAAACUGCGGAUGGCUCAUUAAAUCAGUUAUAGUUUCUUUGAUGGUACCCUACUACUCGGAUAACCGUAGUAAUUGUAGAGAUAAUACGUGCACCAAGUCCCGACUCUUUGGAAGGGAUGCAUUUAUUAGAUAAAAGGCCGGCGCGGGCUUGCCCGCUUCUCCGGUGAAUCAUGAUAACUCGAC